CCUCUCACUCUUUGCUGGCACUUGAGAGCUCUGCUAGGGCAUUGUGAACCUCCCGCAUUGAGCUAUCUAAAACCGUUUAGCUCCCAACUCUACUAUGUUUCUGGAGCUGUGGUGUGCUGUGGUUGUGGACCCGUUACGUUUGCUAGCGUUUAACUUAAGAUAGAGGAAAGGUUGAAGGUAGACAUGAUGGUGGCGGCGAUGCUGUGUAAUUUCGAGGCUGUUAUAUGCGGCUCUUAGGAGUACUCUAGGAGCCUUUCUUUUGCAUAACUGUUCAACUUUUAGAUUCUGUUUUGGU